ensembl:lncRNA LINC01588 long intergenic non-protein coding RNA 1588
GGAGAGAUGGGGUGCACAGCCAAGGAAAGCCAGGAACAGGUUCCGGCUUCCAUCACUCAGAUACUCAGGAAUCCCUGGGUACCCCACACUGAUUCACACUGCGCUGAGCUGUCCAUGGCACAGAACCAUUUGUCCACUGAUGCUUCCUCCCUCCAGGGACACUGUCCAUCUUCAACAAGGGAGGAUCCCAGAUACUCACCAUGGGCAUUCAUUUUAUAAAAGUCCCAACUGUGGCUCAGGGGUCGGUCCUUGCACCUUAUUAGGAUUUACCUAUGACUUUAUCUGCACUCACAUAAGCACUAGGGGGACAGGAAGCUGUUACUGCAGUCCCGGGGGCCUCUCUCCCGAUGCCUCCAUUUAAAGACUUUGUUCUGUUUGUUCACAGUGUAGAUCUACCGACUUUUUUGUGUGUCUAUUUUAACUCACAAAUUCCACGGCCUCCUCCUUGAAGACAAGAACAGCAUCUUCUUUGCAUCUUGCCCCAUCCUUGCACUUAUUGCUCAGGAAUAGUUGAUUAUCCAGUUCCAUAAUUAAUCUGUCUUUCCUUGAGCACCUACAAUAUGAGUUCUAGGUUCUACAGGGAAUACAAAAAUGAGUAGACAUGAAUGGAGAGCAGGGCAAAAGAGUGGAGAAAGUCAGAGUAGUAGCUUAUUUCAUAAAGUUUGGUAGGAAACAGGAGAGAGACUGGGUUGAGAGGAUUGUAGAAGUGCAUGGGGAGGGAGGUUGUGGUUGAAGAUAAACGGAGGUGACUAGCGGGUGGAUAAUUGAUGGAGCGAAGGGUGGAAGAGCCUAGAGGGAAGGAAUGGGCCAGGCACCGUGCUGACCACAGGCAGAUUGAUUCCUGAAAAAAAGAGUCACCUCUUCAGCAAGACUAAAGGAAGAGGGAGGGAAGUGAAGGUGGGGAGGGAAGGGAGAAUGGAAGGAGAUGUAGCUAAAUUUGGACACAGAGGUGAAAGAGAAAAUGGCUCACCCUAAUGUCCUCAGGUUUUCACUGUUGAAUGAAGGAAGGGACGUAAGCCCCGACAUUAAAGCGCCAAAGUUGACAAGGAUCCAUUGCUGGGAUGAUUGGGGGUGGCAUAUGCGACUCAGAGAGGGCCAUGUGGCCUGUUUGGGGGAGGUCAAGGGAAAACGAGGGGAAAGGAGAGCAAAGUUGGGGAAAUAGGAAUUAUCUCUAGGGCCAUCUUUUCUUCCCUCUCCCACUCACACCCCAUGUAUCAGGAUCCUGAGGCCCAUCUGGCCUUCCCCAAGUUCUGAAGUUCUCUCUCCUUCCCUCGUGGUGUACUUCUCUGGCUAAGUAACUACUUGCUGUUACUGGUUCAGUAGGUGCUCCUGGCUUUGUGUGCUCUCCUCUCUCAGGUACCAGUGUGAUAUUCUUAGAAGAUGGGAGAGGCACAGUUAGAUUUUGGUUCACAUAGUCUGUGAUACUUUGUUAUGGCAGCCCCAACAAACUAAUAAAUUCAUCUUACAGCUAUAUUUUAAAAGUAUGAGUUAUUAGCCGGGUGUGGUGGCAUAUGCCUGUAAUCCCAGCUACUCAGGAGGCUGAGGCACAAGAAUUUCUUGAACCUGGGAGGCAAAGGUUACAGUGAGCCAAGAUCACGCCACUGAACUCCAACCUGGGCAACAGAGAGAGACUCUGUCUCAAAUAAAUAAAUAAAAUUUAAAAAUUAAAAGUAUGAAAUAUAUUUCAUCAGCAUUUUAAGGAUUAUUUGAUAUGUCAAAAACUGAGUUAUAGAGUAGUUUAGACUGUAUAAAUAAACUAAUCAUAAAUAUAUUCAAGAAGAAGGUAUUUGCUUAACAAAAGACUUAACAUUAAACAUUUGUUCAAAUUCAUCUACUCUUUUCAAGAAAAAUAUUUCUUAAAACAAGGUUUUGUUAACUAUGGCAGAGUAGUCAUUAAUUUCCAGCAAACCUGGCUGCUUCCCCUAUUAGCACAUGGGAUUAAAUUAUCUCCUGUGAAGGGACUGGUGUUUUGGGACAUGGGACAUUGUCUUAACCCAGGCAGCUAUAACACAUAUACUGCAGACUGGUGGCUUAGACCAGGGGUCCCCAGUCCUUGGGCCGUGGACUGCUACUGGUCCAUGGCCUGUUAGGACCUGAGGUGCAGAGCAGGAGAUGAGCAGCACUCCAGUGAGCCCCACAUCCUGCCAGAUAAGCAGCGGCGUCAGAUUCUCACAGGAGCGCAAACCCUGCUGUGAACUGUCAUGUGAGGGAUGGAGCUUGUGUGCUCCUUAUGAGACUUUAAUGCCUCCCACCACUGGUCCGUGGACAAAUUGUCUUCCACAAAAUGAGUCCCUGGUGUCAAAAAGGUUGGGGACUGCUGGCUUAGACAAUAGAAAUUUUGUUGUUUAAUUUUUUCACAGUUCUCGAGGCUGGACAGUCCAAGAUCAAGGUGCCUGCAUCUGGCGUCUAGUGUGGACCCUAUUCCUGGUUUGCAGCAUUGUUGGUGCUCUGAGGGUGUCAGCCAGGCCACUCAUGCAGACCAUUGCGGCAGCACUGAAAAUGGAAGAAAGAUGGGAUUCUGCUGUCUUUUGUUUUGGCUGAUGAACAGCACCGAGAUGGAGUGGCUCCUUGUAUGACCUCUGAAAAUAUGACCUGAAGCAGAUGGAUGCACUCACAUAAGAAACAUCACCUGUGGCCUUCAUCGAAAAUGGGCCUGCUGCUUGAAGAAGUUGGGCUCUUGGAGUUCUCUAGCACAGGGGCCAUGAAAAUCAAUGACUUCCUUGUUUGCUGACGGAGCAGAGGUAGAAUCUCUUGGUGUUUCCACGGAGAAAACACUGACCAUGAAGAGCCAAGAAAGAUGACAUGAUGAAGCCAUCAGGGGAAGCACCAAACAUCCUCAACUCUGCUCACCCAUGGUUUUCUCCCGCCCUCCCAGAGCUCCUCCUGCUGAUGGGCCCCCGACAUGAAACUGGCACUCAGAAUGAAGAAUGCCUUUUCCAGCCUCCCUCGCUGGUGGAGUCUCCGUGUUCCAGCCAAUGAAGUAGGGCAUGCAGUUGCCUGCCCCACUGAAGUCAACUUCAGCCUGAAGAUUGGGAGACUUCCGAAAGUGGAAAACUUGGAAGGAGGAAGCCUGGACAGCCUGCAGUUGAGGGGACCUGCACAAGCUCACAGGACUCUUCAUCACCAUGACACCACGCUCACCGCAAAAUAAAAAUGAUCAAACCUGU